rnacentral:lncRNA from 1 species
GGGGAAUCAAGCUACUAAACCAUACUAUGAAGGUGUGGGAGAGAGUGGUGGAGAUGAGAGUAAGGAGGGAUGUGGCUAUUUUCGAGAACCAGAUCGGAUUCAUGCCGGGGCACGCUACUACAUAAAUCAUUUGUCUCGUAAGGAGGGAGGAAGUAGGACUUUCAUAUGCUUAGAAGCUAGCUCAAGAUAUAUUCUUUUGGAAAUUGGUUUUGUGCUUCAAGGAGAUAUCAAUUACUGAGAUAAUCUGUCAGGAAAGAGUUUAUAGUGACAAAUUACACAGUUAUACUUACAUAUAUUAGAAAAUUCACACAUGAGAUGAUUACGGAAGUAAUCACCUUGCUAUAGGUAAAUAAAAAAAGUUUCUAUAAGUAGUAUUGUAGGCGUAUAAAUGUUGAGGAGGUUCAGGGUUCUAUUCGUUGGAUGCGUAUGGUUAAAACGGCCAGGCCAGACGAGGUCCCAGAGGAGUUUUAGAAGAGCACAGUCAGGGCAGGUAUGGUGUAGCUUGUUUAAUCUUGUUUUCAAGACAGCGAGGAUGCCCAGAGUAUGAAGAUGGAGUACAAUGAUUCUGUUGUACAAGAACAAGGCUGACAUUUAGAAUUUUAAAAACUAUUGGGGAAUCAAGCUACUAAACCAUACUAUGAAGGUGUGGGAGAGAGUGGUGGAGAUGAGAGUAAGGAGGGAUGUGGCUAUUUUCGAGAACCAGUUUGGAUUCAUAUCGGGACUUUCUACUACAAAAGUCAUUCAUCUCAUAAGGUGGGGAAGAAGGACCUAUAUAUGGUUAGAAGCUAGCUCAAGAUAUAUUCUUUUGGAAAUUGGUUUUGUGCUUCAAGGAGAUAUCAAUUACUGAGAUAAUCUGUCAGGAAAGAGUUUAUAGUGACAAAUUACACAGUUAUACUUACAUAUAUUAG